rnacentral:rRNA from 1 species
GAUGAACGCUGGCGGCGUGCUUAACACAUGCAAGUUGAACGAAGUGGCGGAUGGGCGAGUAACACGUGAGGAACCUGCCUUUCACAGGGGAAUAACACUGGGAAACCAGUGCUAAUACCGCAUAGUGAAAGAUGGCCUCGCGCCUGAUUAGCUAGUAGGUGAGGUAACGGCUCACCUAGGUGAUGAUUAGUAUCGGGAAUGAGGGUUGAACGGCCGCCUUGGGAAUGAGGCACGACCCGAGCUCCUAAGGGAAAGAGGAGUGGGGAAGAUUGGGCAAUGGCGCAAGCCUGACCCAGCAACGCCGCGUGAAGGAAGACGGUCUUCGGAUUGUAAACUUCUUUGGACAGGGACGCGGUACCUGUAGAAUAAGCCACGGCUAACUACGUGCCAGCCGCCGCUGUAAUAC